AACGAACGCUGGCGGCGUGCUUAACACAUGCAAGUCGAACGGAAAGGCCCUGCCUUUGUGGGGUCCUCGACUGAAGACCGGGUAAGUUACCCGUAAGUUCCGUGUAAUUGCCCUUGGGAUAUCCUAAUGACACUUGAGCUCAUCCGAGCAAGGAUUUAUCGCCGUUUGGUGGGGCUUCGAUAGUUUAGCUGGUUGGGGGUGGACUCGCGGCGUAUCAGGUCGAUCGUGGGGUAGUGGCUUAGCAAGGCUUUGACGGGUAGCCGGCCUGGUAGGGGGACCGGCCACAUUAGGACUGAGAUGCGGCCCGGACUCCUACGGGAGGCAGCGGUGGAGAAGAGUGCACAAUGGGCGGAAGCCUAAUGCAGCAACGCCGCGUGCGGUAUGACAGCCUGCGGGUUGUAAACCGCUUUCGCCUGUGACGAAGCGUGAGUGACGGUAAUGGGUAAAGAAGCACCGGCUAACUACGUG
rnacentral:rRNA from 1 species